rnacentral:tRNA from 1 species
GGCGAGGUAGCUCAAGUGGCAGAGCAGCCGGCUCAUAAUCGGCGGGUUGUGGGUUCGAGUCCCACCCUCGCCACCU